rnacentral:rRNA from 1 species
AUUGAACGCUGGCGGCAGGCUUAACACAUGCAAGUCGAGCGGGGGAAGGUAGCUUGCUACCGGACCUAGCGGCGGACGGGUGAGUAAUGCUUAGGAAUCUGCCUAUUAGUGGGGGACAACAUCUCGAAAGGGAUGCUAAUACCGAAUACGUCCUACGGGAGAAAGCAGGGGAUCUUCGGACCUUGCGCUAAUAGAUGAGCCUAAGUCGGAUUAGCUAGUUGGUGGGGUAAAGGCCUACCAAGGCGACGAUCUGUAGCGGGUCUGCGAGGAUGAUCCGCCACACUGGGACUGAGACACGGCCCAGACUCCUACGGGAGGCAGCAGUGGGGAAUAUUGGACAAUGGGGGGAACCCUGAUCCAGCCAUGCCGCGUGUGUGAAGAAGGCCUUAUGGUUGUAAAGCACUUUAAGCGAGGAGGAGGCUACUCUAGUUAAUACCUAGGGAUAGUGGACGUUACUCGCAGAAUAAGCACCGGCUAACUCUGUGCCAGCCGCCGCCGUAA